rnacentral:misc_RNA from 1 species
GUCAGUAUCCGAUGGACCCGAUAAUUCAACCCCAUCUUGAUGAUGAUUGUGAUUAUCCCUUGCUCUGAUUGUCCGUCUAUUGUAAUAAAUUUCCCUCUCAUUUCUCUCGUUCCCGUCUCCCAAAUUCUCGAGGGAGUGAAUAGGAGACUGUUCCUUUAACGGACUUUCAGAAUUUUCCAUAUCGAAUCCACGAUAAGCGUCAUCCACAUCUUCACCACCGCUGUACUUCUCAUCUCCUUCGACAUUGUUGUUGGCACCGCCACCGCCAGCAUCCUCGAUUUUGGAGACCCAAUUGGAUCUGACUCGCUUGGUGGUGGCAGUGGAAGCCCGCUUUUUCGAAUCCUUGACUCUCCAGCUUCCAAUUGCGACGGUAUCCAAAUUGACCUCUUUGUCCUCAUCUAGGGUUUCAGCGAACUCACCGCUAGUAGUUAAAUUGGUUAAAGCCCGGGUCUUUGAGCCUUUAUUAGAAGUACUGGGGUCCUUUUUGUGAUCAAGAGACAGGAGCUGAUGAUGCUUCCAUUGCUUAUUAUUGGCGGUCCUCCGCGAAUGAGCAUCGUAGAGCUGUUCGCCGCCGAUUUCGCCUAGACGGACACUGGGCCUUCGCUGGCGCUUGGAGCCGACGGUUUCAAAUGACGUGACUGCAAUUGGAGGUCCUACUCUUUCUACUGCAGAGCUUCCGCCGUUUAGCUGGCCCUCCUGUGGAGGCAAGUCAGCCAUUUUCGAAGACGAAAGUUUUCAGAUCCCCAGGCAAUAUUCCCGGUGGCUCAAUAACUUUGGUCCACUUUAUCUGUUUCCGUCUAGGGUUAGCUAAUAUGCGCCCGCGAGCAUUUUUCUCUUAUUAAAAGGAGAGGGAGCGAGAAAC